rnacentral:rRNA from 1 species
GAGUACGGUCGCAAGAUUAAAACUCAAAGGAAUUGACGGGGACCCGCACAAGCGGUGGAUGAUGUGGAUUAAUUCGAUGCAACGCGAAAAACCUUACCUACCCUUGACAUGUACGGAACCCUGCUGAGAGGUGGGGGUGCUCGAAAGAGAGCCGUAACACAGGUGCUGCAUGGCUGUCGUCAGCUCGUGUCGUGAGAUGUUGGGUUAAGUCCCGCAACGAGCGCAACCCUUGUCAUUAGUUGCUACGAAAGGGCACUCUAAUGAGACUGCCGGUGACAAACCGGAGGAAGGUGGGGAUGACGUCAAGUCCUCAUGGCCCUUAUGGGUAGGGCUUCACACGUCAUACAAUGGUACAUACAGAGGGCCGCCAACCCGCGAGGGGGAGCUAAUCCCAGAAAGUGUAUCGUAGUCCGGAUUGUAGUCUGCAACUCGACUACAUGAAGUUGGAAUCGCUAGUAAUCGCGGAUCAGCAUGUCGCGGUGAAUACGUUCCCGGGUCUUGUACACACCGCCCGUCACACCAUGGGAGCGGGUUUUACCAGAAGUAGGUAGCUUAACCGCAAGGAGGGCGCUUACCACGGUAGGAUUCGUGACUGGGGUG